UACAGAGACUGCAAGCGUUAUUCGGAUUCACUGGGCGUAAAGGGUGCGCAGGCAGCCAAGUGUGUGAGGCGUGAAAGCCCGGGGCUUAACCCCGGAAUUGCACCUCAAACUACAUGGCUAGAGCAUUGGAGAGGGUAGCGGAAUUCACGGUGUAGCAGUGAAAUGCGUAGAUAUCGUGAGGAACACCAGAGGCGAAGGCGGCUACCUGGACAAUUGCUGACGCUCAGGCACGAAAGCGUGGGGAGCAAAAGGG
rnacentral:rRNA from 1 species